UACGGAGGAUGCAAGCGUUGUCCGGGUUUAUUGGGCGUAAAGCGCUCGCAGGUGGUCCGAUGCGUCGUGCGUGAAAGACCCCGGCUCAACUGGGGAGUGUCGUGCGAUACGGUCGGACUGGAGGCCAGUAGGGGGAUGCGGAAUUCCGGGUGUAGUGGUGGAAUGCGUAGAGAUCCGGAGGAACACCAGCGGCGAAGGCGGCAUCCUGGACUGGUCCUGACACUCAGGAGCGAAAGCGUGGGGAGCGAUCCGG
rnacentral:rRNA from 1 species